CACUCCUGCGGGAGGCAGCAGUGGGGAAUUUUGGACAAUGGGCGAAAGCCUGAUCCAGCAAUGCCGCGUGUGUGAAGAAGGCCUUCGGGUUGUAAAGCACUUUUGUCCGGAAAGAAAUCCUUGGCUCUAAUACAGUCGGGGGAUGACGGUACCGGAAGAAUAAGCACCGGCUAACUACGUGCCAGCAGCCGCGGUAAUACGUAGGGUGCGAGCGUUAAUCGGAAUUACUGGGCGUAAAGCGUGCGCAGGCGGUUUGCUAAGACCGAUGUGAAAUCCCCGGGCUCAACCUGGGAACUGCAUUGGUGACUGGCAGGCUAGAGUAUGGCAGAGGGGGGUAGAAUUCCACGUGUAGCAGUGAAAUGCGUAGAGAUGUGGAGGAAUACCGAUGGCGAAGGCAGCCCCCUGGGCCAAUACUGACGCUCAUGCACGAAAGCGUGGGGAGCAAACAGGAUUAGAUACCCUAGUAGUCCC
rnacentral:rRNA from 1 species